rnacentral:rRNA from 1 species
UGGGUAACCUGCCCUUGAAGUAGGGGAUAACACUUGGAAACAGGUGCUAAUACCGUAUAACAACCAAAACCACCUGGUUUUGGUUUAAAAGACGGCUUCGGCUGUCACUUUAGGAUGGACCCGCGGCGUAUUAGCUUGUUGGUAAGGUAACGGCCUACCAAGGCGAUGAUACGUAGCCGACCUGAGAGGGUAAUCGGCCACAUUGGGACUGAGACACGGCCCAAACUCCUACGGGAGGCAGCAGUAGGGAAUCUUCCACAAUGGACGAAAGUCUGAUGGAGCAACGCCGCGUGAGUGAUGAAGGGUUUCGGCUCGUAAAACUCUGUUGUUGGAGAAGAACAGGUGUCAGAGCAACUGUUGACAUCUUGACGGUAUCCAACCAGAAAGCCACGGCUAACUACGUGCCAGCAGCCGCGGUAAUACGUAGGUGGCAAGCGUUGUCCGGAUUUAUUGGGCGUAAAGCGAGCGCAGGCGGUUUUUUAGGUCUGAUGUGAAAGCCUUCGGCUUAACCGGAGAAGUGCAUCGGAAACCGGGAGGCUUGAGUGCAGAAGAGGACAGUGGAACUCCAUGUGUAGCGGUGAAAUGCGUAGAUAUAUGGAAGAACACCAGUGGCGAAGGCGGCUGUCUGGUCU